CACGUAGGGCGCAAGCGUUGUCCGGAAUUAUUGGGCGUAAAGAGCUCGUAGGCGGUCUGUUACGUCUGCUGUGAAAACCCGGGGCUUAACCCUGGGCUUGCAGUGGAUACGGGCAGACUAGAGGCAGGUAGGGGAGAAUGGAAUUCCCGGUGUAGCGGUGAAAUGCGCAGAUAUCGGGAGGAACACCGGUGGCGAAGGCGGUUCUCUGGGCCGAUACUGACGCUGAGGAGCGAAAGCGUGGGGAGCGAACAGG
rnacentral:rRNA from 1 species